GGGGUUGCACUGGUUUCGACGGAGCAUAUGCAACUUUAGAAGCUAUCCGUAUGGGAACCGCGUUAAGGGGCUCAACAAUAAAUUUAGACGACAAUAAUCGUUUAGCAUUAGCUGCCUAAGGGUAGCUUGUCACCCAAAGUCACUCAUAGCUUUGAUCAGUGGCAUCACUUAUGUGAGAAACUGCAUUUAGAACUCCUUUACUAAGUGUAAGUAAAAAAGGAUACUUUAUAUAAAAAGGUGUUUGUUACUAUUUAUAUGAGGGAAAAAAAACAACAAACUAUGAUAGUAGAAGGAAAGUGAAUUGUGUUUCGGACAGGGGUUCGACUCCCCUCAGCUCCACUA
rnacentral:tmRNA from 1 species